rnacentral:rRNA from 1 species
UAGUGGAGUGAUUUGUCUGGUUAAUUCCGAUAACGAACGAGACUCUGUCCUGCUAACUAGGUUGUGUUUUCUCGGGUUGGUGUUUCUGGUGUUCCUUCUCGGGGCGCCGGCCCAAUCCACUUGUGAACACAACACUCUUCUUAGAGGGACUGGCGGCUGUUAGCCGCACGAGAUAGAGCAAUAACA